UCUGGACUCUUUUGGUAUCUAUGCUUCUGCUCAUGUUUUCUGAAUUUUAAUUUUUACUUGAUAAGCCAGUGGCAUAUACGCUUAUGUACUGCUGAACAAGGUUUUUAAGGCGGCAAGAUGAGACGCGGUGACCCACCCCCUUCAUAACGCCUAGGCGAGUAUGGCGGAUGCCUAGGCAACGCCAUACACACUUGCUAGGCAUUAUGAAGCGGGAACAGAGGUCUCCAUCCUCCUCAUCACAUAGGAACAGAUGUCUCCUCCUCUUGUGAUCUCUCAAGUACUGCCCCAUCUCUUUCCUAAUUUCAGUGAGAAUACAUGUCACUG